ACGAGCCCCAAACAGGACGAAACGCGCGUCCUGGAU
rnacentral:hammerhead_ribozyme from 1 species